rnacentral:rRNA from 1 species
CACAUGCAAGUCGAACGGAAAGGCCCUGCUUGCAGGGUACUCGAGUGGCGAACGGGUGAGUAACACGUGGGUGAUCUGCCCUGCACUUCGGGAUAAGCUUGGGAAACUGGGUCUAAUACCGGAUAGGAACCAUCUUUAGUGUGGUGGUUGGAAAGUUUUUUCGGUGUAGGAUGAGCUCGCGGCCUAUCAGCUUGUUGGUGGGGUAAUGGCCUACCAAGGCGGCGACGGGUAGCCGGCCCGAGAGGGUGUACGGCCACAUUGGGACUGAGAUACGGCCCAGACUCCUACGGGAGGCAGCAGUGGGGAAUAUUGCACAAUGGGCGCAAGCCUGAUGCAGCGACGCCGCGUGGGGGAUGAAGGCCUUCGGGUUGUAAACUCCUUUCGCUAGGGACGAAGCUUUUUUGUGACGGUACCUAGAUAAGAAGCACCGGCUAACUACGUGCCAGCAGCCGCGGUAAUACGUAGGGUGCGAGCGUUGUCCGGAAUUACUGGGCGUAAAGGGCUCGUAGGUGGUUUGUC